rnacentral:rRNA from 1 species
UACAGAGGUCCCAAGCGUUGUUCGGAUUCACUGGGCGUAAAGGGUGCGUAGGUGGCGGGGUAAGUUUGAUGUGAAAUCUCCGAGCUUAACUCGGAAACUGCAUUGAAUACUAUCCUGCUCGAGGGUUGGAGGGGGGACUGGAAUUCUCGGUGUAGCAGUGAAAUGCGUAGAUAUCGAGAGGAACACCAGUGGCGAAGGCGAGUCCCUGGACAACACCUGACACUGAGGCACGAAAGCUAGGGGAGCAAACAGG